UCCGUAGGCGGUGUGGCAAGUCGGUAGUGAAAUCUCUCGGCUUAACUGAGAGGCUGCUGCCGAAACUGCCAUGCUCGAGUGCGAGAGAGGCGAGUGGAAUUGCGGGUGUAGCGGUGAAAUGCGUAGAUAUCCGCAGGAACAUCCGAGGCGAAAGCGGCUCGCUGGAUCGCAACUGACGCUGAGGGACGAAAGCUAGGGGAGCAAACAGGAUUAGAUACCCUGGUAGUCCUAGCCCUAAACCAUCAGGACUUGGGGUUUGCCCUGUACGGGGCAAGUCCCGGAGCUAACGCGUUAAGUCCUGCGCCUGGGGAGUACGGUCGCAAGGCUAGAA
rnacentral:rRNA from 1 species